ACUAUAAAUUAUUUAAUUCCUUCUCAGCUGUUUGAAUGCUUGUUUCAGGUUAGGCUUUACAGGGAUUUGUUAAUUUGUUUCUGGUACUGCCAGAAUGCAUUAGGGCCAUUUCCAGCUAGAAGGAGACAUGCUUCCUGCUCCCCAGGCUGUAACGUGAAGGAUCUGAUCUUCAGCACAGGGCCGGGGCCAGGAAGCUUUGCUCCUGCUGUACACAGCCAGCUGGAAGGCAGCACGCAGCAAGGUCCCUCAGCACUCGGUCUUCACUCAGCACUUCACGGCCAAGGGGAAAGCAGGCGCUGCAAGGUGGGAUAAGCACCAUGCUUGUCCACCAGCAUCUGUCCAAAACGGUGCUGGCGGGGCCAGAUGAAGGGACCCAGACACCACUUUUCCAUGGCUGGGCUGAAGCAAGGGUGCUGUGUGGCUUUCUCAGCCUCAAAGCUUUUGUGCAGCUUGCUGUCAGCCUUUGCGCUCAAGAUUAUUUCAGACUGAGUGAGCAGCAGACUUAAGACUUUAGAAAUCUUGUUUAUAACAUUCCUUUUGCCCAAAAUGCUCAUGUUACCUGCUUGUCAAAUGUAAGGCCGUCAGAUAAUCAAGCCCCGUUGGCUCUGCGAGGCUCUAUUUAGCAAAUUAAAGGAGCGGUAACCCUAGCUAACAAUAAGAGCGCGCAGAAGAACUCCUGCACACCCACCAGACCUGCCAUAUUCCUUCCACUAGAGGACGGUAGCUCUUGUACACAGCCAUCAGCAGCCUUUUACAACAGAAGCUCGAAUAAAGCAGCCCAACCCUUCCUGUAGAAACAUGUUCCUUUCUAGUGGUUUUCACAUAAUGAAUCCCAGUGAAUAUUUAACUAAGUCUCCCCUGUAAUCAAGUUUCUGGCCUCCUCGCUUGUAUCCACAAUGUAAAACAUUUCCUGAUCUAUUGCAUUUAGCAGCCCUGGAAGCCUCCCGCAGUAUCUGUUUCUCUGCUCAGCUGGCAUCAGAAGAGCUGCGUGAUUGUUGUUGGGUUUUCUCAUCCAGCAAGCGCUGAUACAAACGGUGCUACCUGUUGAGAGACGGGAAGGAUCUUUGGGACCUCAACCUGGCCAUGUAAAUCAUAAGCAGGCCUUCUCUUCAAGGCCUGAAACGCUGCUCUGUGUUCAUAGGUAUAAGAACAUUCAUUGCUGUGGGCAUGAAUAUUCAGCGAUCCAAGUCUAGAUUUCAUGCAAACUGAGCCGUCCUCUAAUCCUCCCCUUAAAACACAGAAACAUGAAGGAAAAAAAGUGUGUCUGGGUCUGCAUGAAGGUGGAUUUGGGCCUGCGGUGACUUGGAAAACCUUUCUGGGGUAAAACCUACGGCCUUUGUUUAAGGAACUCCGCGUGUCUAUAUCAAAUAGCAAAUCUCUGUUUGUGCCUGAGCUUUGUCUGCCAGACCAUUACCUUUUCACCUCAUUUUUGGACUUGUGAACGUGGUUAUGGAGUUAACAAACAAGGGCUGUUAAACCUCGAGGCACCUCUGUUUACACAGAGGCUUUCUUGGGCAGGACAGUGGCUUCUCUCCAAGGCAGUCCGGUUUCUCAGGUGAAAUGGUGGGUGCCUCAAUCACCUGGCACAGGGGGCGAGGAGCUCCUCUCACCUUGGGGACUGGGGUGGCAAAAGGCAUGGCUUUCGCUGGAGGAGACACACAGGGGAUGAAGCAAAUUCCUGCGAAAACUCUGGUAGGAGACGGAGGAGUGAAAUUAUGUGUGAAGGCCGGAAAGGGAAGAGGGAACAUGAGGUGAGACUUCUUACUUACAGCCAUUGGAGGGGUGAGGAGAAUGAGGCAGGGAAAUAGUCGCAGGCAUUUAGUACUGCAUUACUGUCGUAUGUUCCAGGGCUGUAGAAAGGGAAAAAAAAAAAAAAAAAAGACUUUUAUGUUAUUUUUUGAACUUCUGCAGUCUCCAUGCCUGGCUGUGACUGGGCCUCCGUGAGAGCUGGGGAUGUGGACUGUGGCUCUCCAGUGAAGGAGGUGAGAAGCAGGAGGGGUCUGCAGGGAUGUGGUACCCUGGGUUUGGGACCCUGCCCAUGAGGAAGAGCACAGUGCCUGCCCCGUGGAUCCCUGCCACCAAGUUUUCUGCCACUCCCAGGGCUUAAACUGUAACAGGAGCCCUGGUGCAAGCCCCGCUGAGCACCUCCUGCUCUGAGGUUGUGCCUGGAAGUCAUCGCUCGCUCGCUCGCUGAACCCUGUGGUGUCACCAGAGAAAAAUCCCAUCUGAUGUAACGUUGCAGGGGAAGCUGCCACAACCACCAGUUGGUCUAGUUAGACAACAGAGCUUUAGUGAAACAAACCAGCGUGUAUUGAUCAACUGGAAACAGAAAGUGUGCGGGCCAACAAGCCAAAUGUAUUCAAGAUCUGUAACAGAAAGACAAAUGGUCUUUGCAGCCUUUGUCUUCUCAUUUUUGUAAGUCUGCCUCUGUCUUGCUGUGCCCUGCUCAGCGCUGAGAAGGGUUUUAUUCACAUGGCUUCUGCUUAGGGGGAUUCACUUUUUAAAGUUAUUCUCCAACGUGUGCUUCCUUCCCCUGUCUUAGAAGAGAUGCUAUUCCACAGCAGCCAGAGGUGCUCUACCAGGACACUCUGUAACAUUUUUUUUUAUGAAGGAAUAUAUAAUAAAUUGAGGAUUUUCUUUUAUUUUGAUAAUUUAGUACUCAAUAUCUGCAUUAUGGAAGUGCCUGGAGGUUCCAGCUGAGCUCAGUGUCUUAUUGUUCUAAGCCAUGCAUAAAAGCAUGGUCAGAAAUGAGGAGCUUACCAUCUAAAUGGAUGAGAUGAAUAAAGGGUGGGAGACAGGAAACAUCUAUUAUCCUCAUUUCAUAGCUAGAAAGUUUGGACAUAGGCAGAUUAAGUGACUUUCCCAGGACUGUAUAGGAAAACUGAUGUAGAAGGACAGAAAGCUUCAAAUGUCCUGUACCCCAGUGUAAUACCCUGAUCAUAACACACCACAUUUCCUGUUUAAAUAUAUCUCACAACAUUUAUUAAUAACAACAAGUAUUUUUUGGAAUCUGUUCCUUAAGACGUACAAAAUGAGAGGCGUACCAGAGAAGUUACAUGGCUACAGGGCAUAAAAAUCUGGAGGGAGUUCUGGCAUUAAGUGCCAUUACAAAACAUCACUACAAUGGUGAAAAUAAUCUCUUUUCUCAGUACUGCCUGAAUUAAUCUCUCUUAGAAGAUUCUGCUGUGCAUAAUGGAGAGGAAGAUCAAAAAUCAAUAAGCAAAAGACGUUAACUUUCCACAUGCUGUAGUUCAACCAAAACGAGUUUUGUUGUUGAUAAACACCCAGUAAAACUAUCCCUUUAUGGCAGUCCCCCUUCCUAUGCACAUUUUGCUGCAAAAGAACUCGGUAGACAAUGGUUCACACUUUCAUGGAUAAUUACUGAAUGUAGUGACAUGAAAGAAAUUCUUAUCUCAUUUUUUCAGUUAAGCAGCAUCUUGGAGUAACAUAGAGAAGACUAGAGAUGGAAGUUUCUCAGUAGCAGUUUUUAUAUUAGGAUGGGUUCGUGUUUAUAUCAGCAUGAAGUGAUUUUCCCUCAGGACUCAGACAAAUACAUGAAGCAAUUUUGCCUAUCUCUGAAAAUUAAAGGAUACAAUCUACUGAGACCAGAUUUUCAGAAGUGGGUUCCUUUGGCACCCUAAAAAACACAGUUCAAAGCUGCCA